GGGGGCAGCGGGAGGCGCUGGGAACAGCGGGACGUGCUGAGAACAGUGCGGAGUCUGUGAGCCCGGGGAGGAAGGGACUGGUUUGGGGUCUAACUGGUCUCAUCCCCUCCAGCGGGCAGCAGCACCCUCUUCUUCUCCCCACGAAGAGAAACACUUUUCCAUCUUCUCUGAGGGAGACUCAGCCUGACUCCCACUCCAGGCCCAAGACCUCUGCACGAGGAGGGGGCCCCGGGCUCCUCGUCCCGUGAGCUCAAGAGAGGAAUCUGGCCAAGGUCUCUGUGGUGGCCACAGCAUCUCUGGGUAGACGCUCACCUCGUUUGCCCACUUGGGACGGAAGCUUCUUAAAACAGCACAUAAUUUAUCACUGGGCAGUGCCCUGGUCUCCGUCAUCCUCAUCGGACACGAGCUUCUCACACUGAUGGACAGGAUUUCUUGCAGCCAGUGGUGACUCAAAUCACAUGAGACUGGAUUUCAGAAGGUGAUGGAAUCCCUCCAGUUUCAUUGCUGGAUUAAGACGCAGCACCGAAGGCAAAGCCAGAGAACUAGAGCCGCAUCGUCUUCUUUUAUUAAAUCAUGAAAUGCAUUUAAGGGUCAAGAAGAAAACAUCACGAUUAUUAACCUGUAUACAACAUAUGUAUUAAAUUCUAAGUGAAGCGUCUAGGUUGUCAUUGUGAAUAGAGAUACAUGAAAGGAAAUGUUCUUUCAUUCUGACUUUGACUUUUCUCAAGAAAGAAAAUUCUUAAUUGCAAAAUUAUUUCGACUUUGAAUCACAGACAUAUUUGUUUUAUGAUAAAUAGCAGAUUUGUAUCUAAAUAUAGUUUCACCAGAAAAAUAAUGUAAAAAAAAUGUUUUGACUCAGAUUUCCACUUCAGAUUUUAAUAAGAAAUAUGUAUCAUUAUCACUUUAAAAGUUUUAUAUGAAGAUUUUGAGCAUGAAGAUUGAGUUUCAAAAAAAGGUAUUUUUAGGCAAAUGAAAAAAGUUCAACAGAAAAUCAAAUAUAAAAUAGAAACAUUACAGUUAUUAUGUAGCUAAAGUACAUUUUAAAAGUAUUUUGCCAUAUCGAACCACAUAUUUAAGUUCUGUUUGAAUCUGUUAGAAGCUGCUCUUCAGAGUGUUCUGACUACCAUACUACAGGACGUGCGCUGGACGCGUUUCCGUUGUUCUGCUACCGUUUGGCAACACAGGGCCCUCACGCUAAGAAACAGAUCGGCCCUGACCCUGUUUCUCAUAUGGGAGUCCUGCCCCAGGGGGUGGCUGACCCAUUGGGGGUCAGAGAUUUUCCUCCUCUUUCUAAUCUGACAUAAAAUGUUAAGUGUGGGCUGACCUGGGCAUAGAGGCUCCUGGAUUGACCAAGACAUUUAUUCAACUAGUUAGAAGCUAAAAAUCACGUUGUGCAAACAGAACCCCGGCUGUUCUAAACACAUGCGGGUGAAGACGGCUGUGGGAGCCAGAGCAAGUGCUGUGUGCUGCCGGGCAGGCACGGACUCUCCUGUGCGUGUUCCGAGAAGCUGCGGGUGUCCCUGUUCAUCCACAGAAACAUUCUCUUACAGUACAGACAGUCCUGUAAGAAGUUGAACACAAAGCAUCAAUGUAAUGCUCCCACCCAUAAUUAAUAAAGAUAUUGUGAGCUGAUGUCCAUGAAGAACUGACUUCACUCAUAGGUGCUAAAUUACACAGCAAAGCUCUUCACAUAUUGAACUCCAAGGAGGCAGGUGACUUUGCGAGCAGAGACUUCAGAAUUGUUUGUAUCGUCUAAAUGUUUACCAUUUCCAUUUGCUACUGAAAAAUUAUUCUGUCAGACAUGAUUACUGAGGAAACACAAACCAAUUUCACUUUAUUUUGUGGGCUGCUCUUUCCAGCCUAUGAGUGGAGACAGCCUCCAAAAGGCAACGCUUCUGAGUCCCCCGCAAGCAGGGGGCUGCGUUUCCAGUGUCUCAUAUAAGUCUUCUCAAACAUUUCCUUCCCUUCAGACAGCAGAGUUGUUCUUUGAACUGAGCUAAUUAUCAUAUAAAGGACAAGCUUUCCUUUUAAAGGACUUGACACGUUUCUGACUUCGCUUUCUCUGGAAAUGACCUUGGUUUCACGGUGACUUCAGCUCAGGAUGAGUGUGCCGCGAUGUCCUUUGCUCUUGAGAUAAAGGAGACGUCGGUUGUUUGGAUGUAAGGGAAGCCCCCACGCCAUCCCAGUCUUAAAGACGAGCGAGGGUUUUUCAUCCGAGUCACAGGGAUGCCGUGUGGGAGGCAGACUCUACCUGUCUUACUGCGUCGAUCUGCUGAACUCCCAAUAGUGACCUGAAAACUGUUUGCUAGUUUUCAGUUUCACCUGAGCGUUUCCUGAGCUGGCCUUGACCGUCCUCCCCAAGUGAGAGUGCUGGUUUUUUCCCUGGCGCCCCUGGGGCCCCGGGGCGCAGGGCCGGGCUCGCAGGGGGCAGACGCGGGGCCGUCUCGGCCUGAGUCCCCGGUCUGGUGUCCAUUGUCGUGUUGAAACGUUCUCUGCCACUGGCCGUCCUUCCUUGGGUGGGAGUCUGACCACCCCACGGGACUCGGCUCCAGGCCGCGGCUUGCCCUCCAGCGACCCCUGAGCUUGGGGCUCUGACUCAGGAGAACCGAGGGGGCAGGGUGCUGUGGAGGGGGGGCUUUAAGGCUGAGUGUGUGUCGGGGGCAACAGAACUCGUGAUGAAGCUUCACCUUCCCUAUCAACAGACACACUUUAUGAUAGUCGUAGGAAAGUCGGGAAUAUUUAAUACGAACCUUGAGGCUCCUGUAGAAAUAAAGGUAUUUUU
rnacentral:lncRNA from 1 species